AGAGUUUGAUCCUGGCUCAGAUUGAACGCUGGCGGCAUGCCUUACACAUGCAAGUCGAACGGCAGCACGAGAGCUUGCUCUUGGUGGCGAGUGGCGAACGGGUGAGUAAUAUAUCGGAACGUACCCUAGAGUGGGGGAUAACGUAGCGAAAGUUACGCUAAUACCGCAUACGAUCUACGGAUGAAAGUGGGGGAUCGCAAGACCUCAUGCUCAUGGAGCGGCCGAUAUCUGAUUAGCUAGUUGGUGGGGUAAAAGCUCACCAAGGCGACGAUCAGUAGCUGGUCUGAGAGGACGACCAGCCACACUGGAACUGAGACACGGUCCAGACUCCUACGGGAGGCAGCAGUGGGGAAUUUUGGACAAUGGGCGCAAGCCUGAUCCAGCAAUGCCGCGUGAGUGAAGAAGGCCUUCGGGUUGUAAAGCUCUUUUGUCAGGGAAGAAACGGUGGACUCUAAUACAGAUCACUAAUGACGGUACCUGAAGAAUAAGCACCGGCUAACUACGUGCCAGCAGCCGCGGUAAUACGUAGGGUGCAAGCGUUAAUCGGAAUUACUGGGCGUAAAGCGUGCGCAGGCGGUUGUGCAAGACAGAUGUGAAAUCCCCGGGCUCAACCUGGGAAUUGCAUUUGUGACUGCACGGCUAGAGUGUGUCAGAGGGGGGUAGAAUUCCACGUGUAGCAGUGAAAUGCGUAGAGAUGUGGAGGAAUACCGAUGGCGAAGGCAGCCCCCUGGGAUAACACUGACGCUCAUGCACGAAAGCGUGGGGAGCAAACAGGAUUAGAUACCCUGGUAGUCCACGCCCUAAACGAUGUCUACUAGUUGUCGGGUCUUAAUUGACUUGGUAACGCAGCUAACGCGUGAAGUAGACCGCCUGGGGAGUACGGUCGCAAGAUUAAAACUCAAAGGAAUUGACGGGGACCCGCACAAGCGGUGGAUGAUGUGGAUUAUUCGAUGCAACGCGAAAAACCUUACCUACCCUUGACAUGUCUGGAAUCCUUGAGAGAUCAGGGAGUGCUCGAAAGAGAAUCAGAACACAGGUGCUGCAUGGCUGUCGUCAGCUCGUGUCGUGAGAUGUUGGGUUAAGUCCCGCAACGAGCGCAACCCUUGUCAUUAGUUGCUACGAAAGGGCACUCUAAUGAGACUGCCGGUGACAAACCGGAGGAAGGUGGGGAUGACGUCAAGUCCUCAUGGCCCUUAUGGGUAGGGCUUCACACGUCAUACAAUGGUACAUACAGAGGGCCGCCAACCCGCGAGGGGGAGCUAAUCCCAGAAAGUGUAUCGUAGUCCGGAUUGUAGUCUGCAACUCGACUACAUGAAGUUGGAAUCGCUAGUAAUCGCGGAUCAGCAUGUCGCGGUGAAUACGUUCCCGGGUCUUGUACACACCGCCCGUCACACCAUGGGAGCGGGUUUCACCAGAAGUGGGUAGCCUAACCGCAAGGAGGGCGCUCACCACGGUGGGAUUCGUGACUGGGGUGAAGUCGUAACAAGGUA
rnacentral:rRNA from 1 species